rnacentral:tRNA from 1 species
GGGUCGCUAACUCAUCAGGCAGAGUAGCGGGCUUUUAACCCGCAAGGCAGGGUUCGAGUCCCUGGCGACCUA